GACGAACGUUGGCGGCGUGCUUAAUACAUGCAAGUCAACUGAAGCAGUGGUAGCAAUAUCGCUGUGGAGGUGGCGCACGGGUGAGUAACACGUAGGUAAUCUGCCUUCAGGUCUGGCAUAACUCCGGGAAACCGGGGCUAAUAGCAGAUGAUGCAGCGGCUCGACAUCGAGACAGUUGUUAAAGCUAUGGCGCCUGAAGAUGAGCCUGCGUCUGAUUAGCUAGUUGGCGGGGUAACGGCCCACCAAGGCAGCGAUCAGUAGCUGGUCUGAGAGGAUGAUCAGCCACACUGGAACUGAGACACGGUCCAGACUCCUACGGGAGGCAGCAGUAAGGAAUAUUGCUCAAUGGGAGAAAUCCUGAAGCAGCAACGCCGCGUGAGGGACGAAGGGCUUUUGCUUGUAAACCUCUGUAGUGAGAGAAAAAAAUCCCAAUCUUUGGGACAUGAUGGUAUCUCAAAAGUAAGCCCCGGCUAACUACGUG
rnacentral:rRNA from 1 species